rnacentral:lncRNA from 1 species
UGUCACUGAGACUUAUUGUUUGUCUGUUUUUUUAUUUGUUACUUGUACUGUUGAGAUUACAUAAAUUAUAUUAAGGUUGUUGAGAGUACCUUUUGUUUGUGGAUAUUUUUUCUUCGGUUUAGUUGUGUAAGUUGUGUGUAUUAAGUAAUAUUUUAUUUUUAUUCUUAUUAUGUUGGUUAUAUGUUUUUUUUAUUUUUAAACUUGUUGCUUUUACCGGACUUUUAAAACAAAUACAUGAAGACUUGUAGAAAUAACUAUAAAAUGAGUGACAAUUAGUAUUUAGACCUUAAUGGG